UACGUAGGGGGCGAGCGUUGUCCGGAUUUAUUGGGCGUAAAGAGCGUGUAGGCGGUUCGGUAAGUCUGUCGUGAAAUCCUGAGGCUCAACCUCGGGCGUGCGAUGGAUACUGCCGGGCUAGAGGAUGGUAGAGGCGAGUGGAAUUCCCGGUGUAGCGGUGAAAUGCGCAGAUAUCAGGAGGAACACCAAUUGCGAAGGCAGCUCGCUGGGACGUAACUGACGCUGAGACGCGAAAGCGUGGGGAGCAAACAGG
rnacentral:rRNA from 1 species